UACGUAGGGUCCGAGCGUUGUCCGGAAUUACUGGGCGUAAAGAGCUCGUAGGUGGUUUGUCGCGUUGUUCGUGAAAACUCACAGCUCAACUGUGGGCGUGCGGGCGAUACGGGCAGACUGGAGUACUGCAGGGGAGACUGGAAUUCCUGGUGUAGCGGUGGAAUGCGCAGAUAUCAGGAGGAACACCGGUGGCGAAGGCGGGUCUCUGGGCAGUAACUGACGCUGAGACACGAAAGCCAGGGGAGCAAACGGG
rnacentral:rRNA from 1 species